GAUGAACGCUGACAGAAUGCUUAACACAUGCAAGUCAACUUGAACUUCGGUUUGGGUGGCGGACGGGUGAGUAACGCGUAAAGAACUUGCCUCACAGAUAGGGACAACAUUUGGAAACGAAUGCUAAUACCUGAUAUUAUGAUUAUAUGGCAUCGUAUAAUUAUGAAAGCUAUAUGCGCUGUGAGAGAGCUUUGCGUCCCAUUAGCUAGUUGGAGAGGUAACGGCUCACCAAGGCGAUGAUGGGUAGCCGGCCUGAGAGGGUGAUCGGCCACAAGGGGACUGAGACACGGCCCUUACUCCUACGGGAGGCAGCAGUGGGUAAUAUUGGACAAUGGACCAAGAGUCUGAUCCAGCAAUUCUGCGUGCACGAUGAAGUUUUUCGGAAUGUAAAGUGCUUUCAGUUGGGAAGAAAAAAAUGACGGUACCAACAGAAGAAGUGACGGCUAAAUACGU
rnacentral:rRNA from 1 species